rnacentral:tRNA from 2 species
GGGCGAUUAGCUCAGCGGGAGAGCACUCCCUUCACACGGGAGGGGUCACAAGUUCAAUCCUUGUAUCGCCCACCA